rnacentral:rRNA from 1 species
CCUACGGGAGGCUGCAGUGAGGAAUAUUGGUCAAUGGGCUUACGCCUGAACCAGCCAAGUCGCGUGAGGGAAGACUGCCCUAUGGGUUGUAAACCUCUUUUGUCAGGGAGCAAUUGGCGCUACGUGUAGCGUUAUCGAGAGUACCUGAAGAAAAAGCAUCGGCUAACUCCGUGCCAGCAGCCGCGGUAAUACGGAGGAUGCGAGCGUUAUCCGGAUUUAUUGGGUUUAAAGGGUGCGUAGGCGGAAUGCCAAGUCAGCGGUAAAAUCGCGGGGCUCAACCUCGCUCCGCCGUUGAAACUGGCGGUCUUGAGUGGGCGAGAAGUAUGCGGAAUGCGUGGUGUAGCGGUGAAAUGCAUAGAUAUCACGCAGAACUCCGAUUGCGAAGGCAGCAUACCGGCGCCCAACUGACGCUGAAGCACGAAAGCGUGGGUAUCGAACAGGAUUAGAUACCCCGGUAGUC